CACUACCUACGGGGCGCAGCAGUGGGGAAUAUUGGGCAAUGGACGCAAGUCUGACCCAGCAACGCCGCGUGAAGGAAGAAGGCUUUCAGGUUGUAAACUUCUUUUAAGGGGGAAGAGCAGAAGACGGUACCCCUUGAAUAAGCCACGGCUAACUACGUGCCAGCAGCCGCGGUAAUACGUAGGUGGCAAGCGUUAUCCGGAUUUACUGGGUGUAAAGGGCGUGUAGGCGGGUACGCAAGUC
rnacentral:rRNA from 1 species